GUGCUUGCUUUGGCAGCAUAUAUAUUCGAAUUGUAAUGAUACAGAGACUAUUAGCAUGGCCUCUGCACAAGGAAAACACUCAAAAAUAGUAAUAAUAACCCAGUGUUA
ensembl:snRNA U6 U6 spliceosomal RNA